CUAACACAAAGGUUCCUGGUUCGAUUCCCGCCUGGGAUGAAAAUUUCAGGAACUGAAUUUUCGGCUCUCCCUUGACACCAUUUACGAGUAUGGUCUCGAGGAAACGAUGAUAGUCCGUCGGAAGGGGACGAUAAAUGGCUGACCCGUGUUAAGAGAGAGCCAUAUCUCUUGCACGUUAAAGACACCCUUGUAGAUUUCGAAAAAGAGCAGGCUAAUGCCGCUACAAGGCAAGCACUC
rnacentral:lncRNA from 1 species